rnacentral:rRNA from 1 species
UACGGAGGGUGCAAGCGUUAAUCGGAGUUACUGGGCGUAAAGCGCGCGCAGGCGGUCAGUUAAGCCAGAUGUGAAAGCCCCGGGCUUAACUUGGGAAUUGCAUCUUGAACUGGCUGGCUAGAGUGUGGUAGAGGGGGGUAGAAUUCCAUGUGUAGCGGUGAAAUGCGUAGAGAUGUGGAGGAAUACCGGUGGCGAAGGCGGCCCCCUGGGCUAAGACUGACGCUCAGGUGCGAAAGCGUGGGGAGCAAACAGG